UCUGACUACCCCUCAGUGACUCAGGUAACUGGUACUGUCAAAUUUGAUAUAUGGUUAGAAAAUAUACAAAACUAGCAGCACUAAUGAAGCUGUUAUUUUUUCCUAACAACGAUUAUGCUCCGUUGCAAUCCCUGGUUACGCCGACGAAAAUAAAUCAACAAAAUAAUUAAACCGUUGACGUUGGCUGCAAAUGUGAAAAGUAUAUUCGGCAAUAAAUUACAAAAUUAGCGCUGCUUUCCAGAGCACCCUCGAAUGAUCGAUACCUGUUUUGUUAAACAAAUCGCUCCCUAAAAUCAAAACAUCUUCCCUUGCCUAGUAUGGUGGAUAGUGCAGCAAAAAUGUUAAAACGAAUUCAAUUUGGUAUUUGGUUAGCACGACAUUAAUUGAUAUUGAACAUAUUAAAGGUAUAAAUAAAGCGUUUUAGACAAUGA